AACGGUCUAUACCUGCGGUACCUGCGGAGGGAUCAUUACUGAAUUGAUUUUGGGGAUGUUGCUGGUCUCUUGAGGCAAUGGUGCACUCCCUCAAACAUUUCACAAUUUCCAUCUUACCCAUGUGCACAUCCUGUAGGUGGUCUCCCAACCCACCCUCCAAGGAAAGGGGGGGAGUGUGUGGGUCUGGUCUCCUAUGUAUUUCCUUGCCAACAUCACACGUUUCGACUGAAUGAAUCCUGU
rnacentral:misc_RNA from 1 species